rnacentral:lncRNA from 1 species
ACGUUUCGUUAUAUUAUAAUUAUAAUUAUAAUUAUAAUAAACACUAUUUGUUUAACGCCACUAAUAAUAAGAGAGUAGAUAAUUUGCUGGAUAGGCACGAUGUACAUAACAACAAAAAAUCAUCAAACAUAUAUAUAAAUUAAAUGAAGCUAUACCUUAUCACCGUUACACAUGUGAGCUUAUGAAUAAUAACACCUAUCACACGUAAGAAUUUAUCAAUUCCUAUAGCUACCGUAUACAUCUAUUUCAACGUGAAUUUUUUUUUAUUCCUCUUAACUUAUAUCAUCAUAUGCCAUUGUUGUUCCGCAAGCAAAUGCCAAUGGGUGCAUAUAAU